GCCGGCUUAAAAACCUUGGUGUUUCUUCUUUAGUUCUUGAGCCAAGCCCUUGAAGAAUUCGCUCAAUGGAGGAGAAACCAAAGGGGACCACAGCCGCUGCGGGAGCGGAGUCACCGGCAUCGGCCGAGCCCCCGUCGUCACGGCGGCGAGCCGGAGGACUAAAGAGGAAAGCCAACGUGCUCUCAACAUCCAACUCUUCAUCGACACCGUCGAAACGCCUCACACGCGAGAAAGCCCUGAUCUCUCACCCUUCGAUCCACAAUGGAGGCCCGUUGACCAGAGCCCACCAGAGCCCCAACAAUUUGUCUUCUGCGGCUUACGCCGCUACUGGAUGUAAGCUCGAGGAGAAGGUGGCUAUGUCGACGUCGGG
rnacentral:misc_RNA from 1 species